GAUGAAGAACGUAGCGAAAUGCGAUAAGUAGUGUGAAUUGCAGAAUUCAGUGAAUCAUCGAAUCUUUGAACGCACAUUGCGCCCCUUGGUAUUCCAUGGGGCAUGCCUGUUCGAGCGUCAUUUGUACCUUCAAGCUCUGCUUGGUGUUGGGUGUUUGUCUCGCCUCUGCGUGUAGACUCGCCUCAAAACAAUUGGCAGCCGGCGUAUUGAUUUCGGAGCGCAGUACAUCUCGCGCUUUGCACUCAUAACGACGACGUCCAAAAGUACAUUUUUACACUCUUGACCUCGGAUCAGGUAGGGGUACCCGCUGAACUUAAGCAUAUCAAUAAGCGGAGGA
rnacentral:misc_RNA from 1 species